AGCCGAAGUUCACACCAGGAGUGACCCUCUGGGGAUUCCACCAACUUUCGACCUUCGACGACAUCUUUCCGAACCUCUCUGGCGGUCAGGCCUCCGCAGCACUCCCAAGUUUCACCAACGGAUAAACCCCCACCAGCGUCGACCAGAUUCUUCACGACAGACGGACUCCUACAGGAGCCGGACUUUGCGGAUUUCGAUUGCAUGAGGACUUCACCCAGACUCUUAUAGGAGCCAGACUUUGCCGACUUCGACUGCGUGAGGACCUCGUCCGGACUCCUACGGGAGCCGGACUCCACCCACGACUUCACC
rnacentral:lncRNA from 1 species